GAUGAACGCUGGCGGCGUGCUUAACACAUGCAAGUCGAACGGAGGACCCCUGAAGGAGUUUUCGGACAACUGAAGGGAAUCCUUAGUGGCGGACGGGUGAGUAACGCGUGAGUAACCUGCCUUGGAGUGGGGAAUAACAGUUGGAAACAGCUGCUAAUACCGCAUGAUGCAGUUGGGUCGCAUGGCUCUGACUGCCAAAGAUUUAUCGCUCUGAGAUGGACUCGCGUCUGAGUAGCUAGUUGGCGGGGUAACGGCCCACCAAGGCGACGAUCAGUAGCCGGACUGAGAGGUUGGCCGGCCACAUUGGGACUGAGACACGGCCCAG
rnacentral:rRNA from 1 species